rnacentral:rRNA from 1 species
AUUGAACGCUGGCGGCAGGCUUAACACAUGCAAGUCGAGCGGGGACUUCGGUCCUAGCGGCGAACGGGUGAGGAAUGCUUGGGAAUCUGCCUUGUAGUGGGGGAUAACGUUUCGAAAGGAACGCUAAUACCGCAUACGCCCUACGGGGGAAAGGGGGGGAUCUUCGGACCUCUCGCUAUAAGAUGAGCCCAAGUCGGAUUAGCUAGUUGGUGGGGUAAAGGCUCACCAAGGCGACGAUCCGUAGCUGGUCUGAGAGGAUGAUCAGCCACACUGGGACUGAGACACGGUCCAGACUCCGACGGGAGGAAGCAGUGGGUAAUAUUGGACAAUGGGCGAAAGCCUGAUCCAGCCAUGCCGCGUGUGUGAAGAAGGCCUUCGGGUUGUAAAGCACUUUAAGCGAGGAGGAAUGGCUCUGGGUUAAUACCCUUGGGCAGUGACGUUACUCGCAGAAUAAGCACCGGCUAACUCUGUGCCAGCAGCCGCCGUAACAC